GAACGCUGGCGGCGUGCUUUACACAUGCAAGUUGAACGAUCCGCCCGAUUUCAGCCCUUGUGGCUGGAUCGGAUCCCGGAUAGUAGCGGACGGGUGAGUAACGCGUAAAGAAUCUGUCCUCGAGUUUAAGAUAACCCGACGAAAGUGGGGCUAAUCUUGGAUAAGCUAACAGGUAGGAUCUACCGGUUAGAAAAGGUGGUGUAAGCCAUUGCUUGAGGAGGGCUUUGCGUCGGAUUAGCUAGCUGGUGAGAUAACAGCUCACCAGGGCGACGAUCCGUAGCUGGUCUGAGAGGACGAUCAGUCACACUGGAACUGAGACACGGUCCAGACUCCUACGGGAGGCAGCAGUGGGGAAUCUUCCGCAAUGGGUGAGAGCCUGACGGAGCAACGCCGCGUGAAUGAAGACGGCCUUCGGGUUGUAAAGUUCUGUCCUCAGGGAAGAACCGGUGCCAGAGGCAAUGCUGGUGCUCUGACGGUACCUGAGGAGGAAGCCCUGGCUAACUACGUGCCAGCAGCCGCGGUAAUACGUAGAGGGCAAGCGUUGUCCGGAAUCAUUGGGCGUAAAGGGUACGCAGGCGGAUAUGUAAGUCAAAUGUGAAAGGUACCGGCCCAACCGGUAGAGUGCAUUUGAAACUGUAUAUCUUGAGUACAGCAGAGGAGAACGGAAUUCCUGGAGUAGCGGUGGAAUGCGUAGAUAUCAGGAAGAACACCAGUGGCGCAAGCGGUUCUCUGGGCUGUAACUGACGCUGAGGUACGAAAGCUGGGGCAGCGAACGGGAUUAGAUACCCCGGUAGUCCCAGCUGUAAACGAUGGACACUAGGUGUUGGGGGUUCGAUUCCCUCAGUGCCGCAGUUAACGCAUUAAGUGUCCCGCCUGGGGAUUACGGUCGCAAGACUGAAACUCAAAGGAAUUGACGGGGGCCCGCACAAGCGGUGGAGCAUGUGGUUUAAUUCGAUGCAACGCGAAGAACCUUACCGAGGUUUGACAUCCUGUGACUACCUGUGAGAGCAGGGUUUCGGGUUUAUCCCGACACAGAGACAGGUGGUGCAUGGCUGUCGUCGGCUCGUGUCGUGAGAUGUUGGGUUAAGUCCCGCAACGAGCGCAACCCUUGUACCUAGUUGCCAGCAAGUGAAGUUGGGGACUCUAGGUAGACUGCCGGUGAAAGUCGGAGGAAGGUGGGGAUGACGUCAAGUCCUUAUGCCCUUUAUGCUUCGGGCUACACACGUGCUACAAUGGUCACAACAGAGGGAAAGCGAGACUGUGAGGUUAAGCCAAUCCUCAAAAGUGAUCAUAGUUCGGAUUGCAGGCUGCAACCCGCCUGCAUGAAGCUGGAAUCGCUAGUAAUCGCAGAACAGCAUGCUGCGGUGAAUACGUUCCCGGGCCUUGUACACACCGCCCGUCACACCACCCGAGUUGGAUGCACCAGAAGUCGCCUGAGGGUGCCAAAGGUGUGUCCGGUG
rnacentral:rRNA from 1 species